UACAGAGGUCUCAAGCGUUGUCCGGAUUUAUUGGGCGUAAAGAGCUCGUAGGCGGUUUGGUAAGUUGGAUGUGAAAUCUCCAGGCUCAACUUGGAGGGGUCAUUCGAUACUGCCAUGACUAGAGUUCGGUAGGGGAGUGUGGAAUUCCUGGUGGAGCGGUGAAAUGCGCAGAUAUCAGGAGGAACACCCGUAGCGAAGGCGGCACUCUGGGCCGGAACUGACGCUGAGGAGCGAAAGCGUGGGGAGCGAACAGG
rnacentral:rRNA from 1 species